rnacentral:rRNA from 1 species
GACGAACGCUGGCGGCGUGCUUAACACAUGCAAGUCGAACGGAAAGGCCCUGCUUUUGUGGGGUUCUCGAGUGGCGAACGGGUGAGUAACACGUGAGUAACCUGCCCUUCACUUUGGGAUAACUUCAGGAAACUGGGGCUAAUACCGGAUAGGAGCUCCUGCUGCAUGGUGGGGGUUGGAAAGUUUCGGCGGUUGGGGAUGGACUCGCGGCUUAUCAGCUUGUUGGUGGGGUAGUGGCUUACCAAGGCUUUGACGGGUAGCCGGCCUGGGAGGGUGACCGGCCACAUUGGGACUAGGAUACGGCCCAGACUCCAACGGGGGGCAGCAGGGGGGAAUAUGGCACAAGGGGCGGAAGCCGGAUGCAGCAACGCCGCGGGCGGGAUGACGGCUUUCGGGUUGAAAACCGCUUUCGCCUGUGACGAAGCGUGAGUGACGGUAAUGGGUAAAGAAGCACCGGCUAACUACGUG